UACGUAGGUCCCGAGCGUUGUCCGGAUUUAUUGGGCGUAAAGCGAGCGCAGGUGGUUUAAUAAGUCUGAUGUAAAAGGCAGUGGCUCAACCAUUGUGUGCAUUGGAAACUGUUAGACUUGAGUGCAGUAGAGGAGAGUGGAAUUCCAUGUGUAGCGGUGAAAUGCGUAGAUAUAUGGAGGAACACCGGUGGCGAAGGCGGCUAUCUGGCUGGUAACUGACGCUGAGGUGCGAGAGCGUAGGGAGCAAACAGG
rnacentral:rRNA from 1 species